GGAUAGCUCAGCUGGUUAGAGCUUGGUGCUGGUAAUGCCAUGGUUGCAGGUUCUAUCCCCGUAAGGGACA